CAAGUCGAACGGCAGCGCGGGGCAACCUGGCGGCGAGUGGCGAACGGGUGAGUAAUAUAUCGGAACGUACCCUGGAGUGGGGGAUAACGUAGCGAAAGUUACGCUAAUACCGCAUACGAUCUAAGGAUGAAAGUGGGGGAUGCGCAAGCACCUCAUGCUCCUGGAGCGGCCGAUAUCUGAUUAGCUAGUUGGUGGGGUAAAGGCCUACCAAGGCAUCGAUCAGUAGCUGGUCUGAGAGGACGACCAGCCACACUGGAACUGAGACACGGUCCAGACUCCUACGGGAGGCAGCAGUGGGGAAUUUUGGACAAUGGGCGAAAGCCUGAUCCAGCAAUGCCGCGUGAGUGAAGAAGGCCUUCGGGUUGUAAAGCUCUUUUGUCAGGGAAGAAACGGUGAGGGCUAAUAUCCCUUGCUAAUGACGGUACCUGAAGAAUAAGCACCGGCUAACUACGUGCCAGCAGCCGCGGUAAUACGUAGGGUGCAAGCGUUAAUCGGAAUUACUGGGCGUAAAGCGUGCGCAGGCGGUUUUGUAAGUCUGUCGUGAAAUCCCCGGGCUCAACCUGGGAAUUGCGAUGGAGACUGCAAGGCUAGAAUCUGGCAGAGGGGGGUAGAAUUCCACGUGUAGCAGUGAAAUGCGUAGAGAUGUGGAGGAACACCGAUGGCGAAGGCAGCCCCCUGGGUCAAGAUUGACGCUCAUGCACGAAAGCGUGGGAAGCAAACAGGAUUAGAUACCCUGGUAGUCCACGCCCUAAACGAUGUCUACUAGUUGUCGGGUUUUAAUUAACUUGGUAACGCAGCUAACGCGUGAAGUAGACCGCCUGGGGAGUAC
rnacentral:rRNA from 1 species